rnacentral:tRNA from 3 species
CGGGAUGUGGCGCAGUCUGGUAGCGCGUACGGUUCGGGACCGUAAGGUCGGAGGUUCAAAUCCUCUCAUCCCGACCA